rnacentral:rRNA from 1 species
UUGGGAUCGCUAGCCAUGCGAGUCGAGAGGGUUCGGCCCUCGGCUGACGGCUCAGUAACACGUGGAUAAUCUGCCCUUAGGUGGAGGAUAAUCUCGGGAAACUGAGGAUAAUACUCCAUAGAUCUAGGAUGCUGGAAUGCAUCUAGAUUGAAAGCUCCGGCGCCUAAGGAUGAGUCUGCGGACUAUCAGGUUGUAGUCAGGGUAAAGACCUGACUAGCCUACGACGGAUACGGGUUGUGAGAGCAAUAACCCGGAGACGAUAUCUGAGACACGAUAUCGGGCCCUACGGGGCGCAGCAGGCGCGAAAACUUCACACUGUGCGAAAGCGCGAUGAGGGAAUCCCAAGUGUUUGCUCGUAAGAGUAAACUGUUUCUUUGUUUAAAACGCAGAGAGAGUAAGGGCUGGGUAAGACGGGUGCCAGCCGCCGCGGUAAUACCUGCAGCUCUAGUGGUGAUCAUUAUUAUUGGGCCUAAAACGUCCGUAGCCGGUUUAGUAAAUGCCUGGGUAAAUCGUGUAGCUUAACUAUACGACUUCCGGGUAGACUGCUAAACUUGAGACCGGGAGAGGCUAGAGGUACUCCUGGGGUAGAGGUGAAAUUCUGUAAUCCUAGGGGGACCACCAGUGGCGAAGGCGUCUAGCUAGAACGGGUCUGACGGUGAGGGACGAAGCCCUGGGGCGCAAACCGGAUUAGAUACCCGGGUAGUCCAGGGUGUAACGCUGCUUGCUUGAUGUUAGUUGGGCUCCGAGCCCANCUAGUGUCGGAAAAANUUGUUAACAAGCUGCCUGGGAAGUACGGUCGCA